CCUACGGGCGGCAGCAGUGGGGAAUAUUGGGCAAUGGGCGCAAGCCUGACCCAGCAACGCCGCGUGAAGGAAGAAGGCUUUCGGGUUGUAAACUUCUUUUGCCGGGGAGCAAAAAGCGGUACGUGUACCGCAUCGAGAGUACCCGGAGAAAAAGCAUCGGCUAACUCCGUGCCAGCAGCCGCGGUAAUACGGAGGAUGCGAGCGUUAUCCGGAUUUAUUGGGUUUAAAGGGUGCGCAGGCGGCGAGUUAAGUCAGCGGUAAAAUUUCGGGGCUCAACCCCGACAAGCCGUUGAAACUGGCUUGCUAGAGUGGGCGAGAAGUAUGCGGAAUGCGUGGUGUAGCGGUGAAAUGCAUAGAUAUCACGCAGAACUCCGAUUGCGAAGGCAGCAUGCCGGCUCCACACUGACGCUGAGGCACGAAAGCGUGGGUAUCGAACAGGAUUAGAUACCCCAGUAGUC
rnacentral:rRNA from 1 species